rnacentral:misc_RNA from 1 species
UCUCCGUUGGUGAACCUGCGGAGGGAUCAUUACCGAGUGCAAACUCAUAACCCUUUGUGAACCUAUAUCUGUUGCUUCGGCGGCUCGCUCUCGGGCGAGCCCGCCGGUAAUAUCAGUAUCUCUGUUUGAACCCGACGAUACUUCUGAGUGUUCUUAGCGAACAGUUAAAACUUUUAACAACGGAUCUCUUGGCUCUA